AACCUACUCCCUCCGACCAAAAAUUCUUGUCAUCAAAAAAGAUAAAAAAGGUUGUAUAUAGAACUAAUAUGCGUCUAGAUACAUCCUUUUUAUUCAUUUUGAUGACAAGUAUUUCCGGACGAAGAGAGUAUUUU
rfam:Triticum aestivum genome assembly, contig: Triticum_aestivum_CS42_TGACv1_scaffold_082660_1DS